rfam:Schistosoma margrebowiei strain Zambia genome assembly, scaffold: SMRZ_contig0000457
GAACGGCUGAGGAGUUCUACAAUAGGACGAAACGGUCGUCCAGUGC